rnacentral:rRNA from 1 species
GGGGGAUAACAGUUGGAAACGACUGCUAAUACCGCAUAAGACCACAACACCGCAUGGUGGAGGGGUCAAAGAGCAAUCGCUUAUGGAUGGGCUCGCGUCCCAUUAGGUAGUUGGCAGGAUAACAGCCUACCAAGCCGACGAUGGGUAGCCGACCUGAGAGGGUGAUCGGCCACACUGGAACUGAGACACGGUCCAGACUCCUACGGGAGGCAGCAGUGGGGAAUAUUGGGCAAUGGGCGCAAGCCUGACCCAGCAACGCCGCGUGAGUGAAGAAGGCCUUUGGGUUGUAAAACUCUGUUCUAUGGGAAGAAGGAAGUGACGGUACCAUAGGAGAAAGCUCCGGCUAACUACGUGCCAGCAGCCGCGGUAAUACGUAGGGAGCAAGCGUUGUCCGGAAUUACUGGGCGUAAAGGGUGCGUAGGCGGCAGCUUAAGUCAGAUGUGAAAUGCCGGGGCUCAACUCSGGAGCUGCAUCUGAUACUGGGCCGCUAGAGUGCAGGAGAGGAAAGUGGAAUUCUAGUGUAGCGGUGGAAUGCGUAGAUAUUAGGAGGAACACCAGUGGCGAAGGCGACUUUCUGGACUGUAACUGACGCUGAGGCACGAAAGUAUGGGGAGCAAACAGGAUUAGAUACCCUGGUAGUCCAUACCGUAAACGAUGAAUACUAGGUGUAGGUAACAAUGGUUAUCUGUGCCGGAGCAAACGCAAUAAGUAUUCCGCCUGGGGAGUACGUUCGCAAGAAUGAAACUCAAAGGAAUUGACGGGGGCCCGCACAAGCAGCGGAGCAUGUGGUUUAAUUCGAAGCAACGCGAAGAACCUUACCAAGGCUUGAAUCCCGGUGACCGGGGCAGAGAUGUCCCUUCUCUUCGGAGCACCGGAGACAGGUGGUGCAUGGUUGUCGUCAGCUCGUGUCGUGAGAUGUUGGGUUAAGUCCCGCAACGAGCGCAACCCUUGUGACUAGUUGCCAACAGGUAAAGCUGGGAACUCUAGUAAGACUGCCGUGGCUAACACGGAGGAAGGUGGGGAUGACGUCAAAUCAUCAUGCCCUUUAUGUCUUGGGCUACACACGUGCUACAAUGGUCGGUACAAAGAGCAGCGAACCAGCAAUGGCAAGCGAAUCUCAAAAAGCCGGUCUCAGUUCAGAUUGUGGGCUGCAACCCGCCCACAUGAAGUCGGAGUUGCUAGUAAUCGCGGAUCAGCAUGCCGCGGUGAAUGCGUUCCCGGGCCUUGUACACACCGCCCGUCACACCAUGGAAGU